rnacentral:rRNA from 1 species
AUGUAUCCGUACAAUAAUUGCUCCUUUGUUUGUAUAUAUAUUUGUUUGAUUUGCUUCCCUUCCUUUAUGCUCUGUAUAGAACAACGUGGCACAAAGUACUGCAAGCCUCCCUGUAUGGGCCUCAUUAUUGAUGGCAAGUCAAUUGCAGAGGACAUAAAGUUACAGAUUGCUGAAGAAUUUCGUCGAAUGAAAAAGGCAGUUGCACAUGUUCCUGGAUUAGCUAUUGUAUUGGUAGGCGAUAGAAGGGACUCUCAAUCCCAUGUGGGAUUUAAAGCGAAGGGUUGUGAGGAAAACUGCACAAAAGACGAGGUGGUGGAUUCAGCAGCAAGAUUAAGUGGAUAUCUAUCUGUUCAUGGCAUCCUUGUGCCGCUACCACUACCACAAGUAAUGUAUUGUACUACCUCAUGCACUAAAGCAUCUUCCAUGCAAAAAAAAAACUUAGUUCUUUUUAAUUCUUUAGUAUUUUUCUAA